CCCCCCCCCCCCCCCCCCCCCCCCCCCCCCCCCCCCCCCCCCCCCCCCCCCCCCCCCCCCCCCCCCCCCCCCGGUGCCCGUGGCACGGCCGGUGCCCGCGGCGUUCCCGGUGCCCACAGCGCAUGGCCCGCCGCAGCCGCCGUCCGUGCCGCCCUCAGGCUCCUCAGCCGGGACUCGCCCACGGGGCAGCGCCGCGCCGCGCUCAAACGCUGCCCGCCGCAGGGCCACGAGCUGCUGGAGGUAACGCGGCUGUCCCGCUCCCUCACCGGCGCGGCUGCAGCGCCAGUUCAGCGUGCUGGGCACCGAGUACACGGUGUGCCGGUGCUGACGGCCCGCCCCCAGGUGUGGGACAGCGGAGGAUGCAGCCACAGCGUGGAUCUCACGGCGCUGGGGAAGCAUGGGGACGUCUACACGGAGGGGCCCUUUGCCUGCCUGGCCUGGUCACACUCAGAGACACGGCUCCUCUAUGUGGCUGAGAAGAGCCGGCCCAAACCACAGCCCCUGUGCCCCUGGGACGUGCCAGGCGCAGCCUCGCCGGCAGCAGAGGAUGAGGAUGAGGAGGGCAAGCAGUUUGUGUACCACGAGGACUGGGGAGAGGCCCUCAGCACACGCAGCGUGCCAGUUCUUUGUGUCCUGGACCUGGAGGGCCUCAGCCUGUCAGUGCUGGAGGGAGUCCCAGAGCACCUCUCCCCUGGCCAGGCCCUGUGGUCCCUGGAUGACCGUGGUGUGGUGUUCGUGGGCUGGUGGCACGAGCCCUUCCGCCUGGGGCUGAACGCCUGCUCCAACAGGAGGUCAGGGAUUUUCCACUUGGACCUGGCCAGUGGGUGCUGCGAGCUGCUGUCAGCAGAGAAUGUUUCUGUCUGCUCCCCCCGGCUGAGCCCUGAUGGCCAGCGCCUGCUGUACCUGGAGGGGGUUGUGGGGGGGCCCCACCGGCAGUGUCUGCGCCUGUGCAUGCUCACCUGGCAGACAAGGCAGACGGUGACAGUGCUCGACGUGGUGCAGGAGCCCACAGAGGCCUUUGCUGGGCUUUACACAGAGGUGCUGCCACCACAGUGCUGGGCAGCUGACAGCCGGCGAGCCGUGCUGAGCACCCCUCAGCGGAGUCGCACGGAUUUACUCCUCGUGGAUGUGGAGAUGUCCACCGUCACCAACCUGACAGCAGGUACAUGGCACUGGGCACCCAUGGUGCUCUAGUGAGCAACUGUGAUCACCGACAUGUGUUCUGUCCCCAGGGUCACCUGAAGGGUGCUGGGAGCUGCUCACUCUCC
rnacentral:lncRNA from 12 species